rnacentral:sRNA from 1 species
AGCCACCGGAGCGGCGCGGGUUCUCAGGGAGGCAAGAUGACUUCUUUGCCCCAACCUUGGAACAGCUAAAGGGAAAAACAGUGCAAGAUGAGAACAACAAAGGUCUACAAACUCGUCAUCCACAAGAAGGGCUUUGGGGGCAGUGGUCAGUAUCGAUUGGUGUUUCGAGGUUUUGUAAGUUGGCUGAGGUUCUGGUGUGUGCAGUGCCUUGAAAUUACACACUGACUCGUGUGACAAUUGAGGCUAAACAGGCGACUAAACAGACUAAAGUAGCAACUAUCAUACAGUAACAAGGAGUAUGGCAGGACCCUUCUAAUGCAUUUGCAUUCAGACUUUUAAGGAACAUUGUGAAUGCUGCCGGUUUACUACCUUUCAUUUGUUGAAUUGCAUUGUUUAUUACAAAUCUUCCGAGUAUGUUCCAUAAAAUUCCAGCCUCCACUGGUUUGGCAGAUAAGAGAAACUAAAAUCAUAUAUCAGUUUUUACAUUGAGUGAGAGAGAAGCAGCAUAGAUGUGCAUAGAGCAGGUAUGAUCAAAGCAUAAACCUUUGCCUGGCUUCUAGGCAUGGGAAGAAGGAGCAGGAUACAACAUGUUAUUCUGCAUUGAACUAUAGUCUGAGUAUCUACUCUGCUUCUAAUUUUCCUGGUGACCUUGGACAAGCUCCUAGUGUACCUUAU